UUGAAGUAGCUUCUAAAACUAGCUGCGACCGGGAUUUCCAGCGCAUUGUACGUAGGGGCCCCACCCAUUCUUUCCCUGAAUGUUUGUGUUUUGCUGACUGCACGGCGAGUUCGGUUGAUCACAUGAGGUUGAUGUGCCUGGAUGGCUCCUCGGGCCUGGGGGAGGGAAGGCAGCACGCAGGAGCUGCCGUCUGCUUUCUCUGCCGCCUCCUUUUUCUGUGAGCCCAGGCGGGUGCUAGGAGGAGCUCGAACAGAGCAGGGAGACUGCCGACCUUUUGGCAGCAAAUGGCUUUUCCACAGGAGACAACAAAUGAGCCGUCAGACUGCUACAGCACUACCUACAGGUACUUCAAAGUGUACACCAUCACAGAGGGUGCCUGCUCUGACUGGCACUACAGCGUCCAACAAUGACUUGGCAAGUCUUUUUGAGUGUCCUGUGUGUUUUGACUAUGUGCUGCCACCUAUUCUUCAGUGUCAGAGUGGCCAUCUUGUUUGUAGCAACUGUCGCCCCAAGCUUACAUGCUGUCCAACUUGCCGAGGCCCACUGGGUUCCAUUCGUAACUUGGCUAUGGAAAAAGUUGCGAAUUCUGUACUGUUCCCAUGUAAAUACGCCUCUUCUGGAUGUGAGAUAACUUUGCCACACACAGAAAAAGCAGACCAUGAAGAGCUGUGUGAGUUUAGGCCUUAUUCAUGUCCAUGUCCUGGUGCUUCAUGUAAAUGGCAAGGUUCGUUGGAUGCUGUAAUGCCACAUUUGAUGCAUCAGCAUAAGUCAAUAACAACACUACAGGGAGAAGAUAUAGUUUUUCUUGCUACAGACAUUAAUCUUCCUGGUGCUGUUGACUGGGUAAUGAUGCAGUCUUGUUUUGGCUUUCAUUUCAUGUUAGUCUUGGAGAAACAGGAAAAAUAUGAUGGUCACCAGCAGUUCUUUGCUAUUGUACAGCUGAUAGGAACACGCAAGCAAGCAGAAAAUUUUGCUUAUCGACUUGAGCUUAAUGGUCAUAGGCGGCGAUUGACUUGGGAAGCAACUCCUCGAUCUAUUCAUGAGGGAAUUGCAACAGCCAUUAUGAAUAGUGACUGUCUAGUCUUUGACACCAGCAUUGCACAGCUCUUUGCAGAAAAUGGCAAUUUAGGCAUCAAUGUAACCAUUUCAAUGUGUUGAAAUGGCAAGCAAACAUUUUCAGGCCAGUGUUUAAAACAGUUGCAUUUAAUUUCGCAGGAACUAGGGUAACCAUCUUUGACUGCCAGACACAAACUAUUUGGUAGAGGGAGGCUAGACGUAUAUGAAGGUAAAUAAAAGGAAAGGCUGUUAAAUUACAGGAAGCAGUUGCAUGUAGUAACACUAAUAUAUUUAAAAAUAAGUCAACAGUAAACCACUGAAAAUAUAUAUACACCCAAAAUGGGCAUCUUUUGUAUUAAGAAUUGAUUCUACAGGAAAUGUUGUAAAAUAGUUCUAAAAACUUGUUUGUAGAUUGAUUGUACUGUUGAAAAUGAUACUGUUGUGUUUUUUGUUUUUCUUCCUUUGACUGACAAGCCAUGUUGAGCAGUCUGGUCUCUUGCCGCUGCUUUUUCCCCUUAAGUCACUACAUAGUAUUGCUGCUGUUUGUGUAUAUUUUUUGUGUAUUUGCUAAUUUUUAUUAACUUCUAGUUUUUCAUUAAAUAAAUAUGACUUUCUUUUCUGUAAUUCAGGUUUUUCUCCUUUUUGUACCUUUUAAAAAUUAAUUGCAGGUGUCAUCUUUUGAUAUGCAUAAUUCCUUAUAGUAAAACUUAUACUUCUGUACAUUUGGUAAAUUAGUCUCUUCCCAAUAGUCCAUUCAUUGGUGAUACUGUUCUUAAUUCAGCUAUUUUAUGAAUGUAUUCAACUCUAAAGGAGCAAUUACAUUGGAAGAAUUAUCAGAAAAACAGCUCCUUUUAGAAACAGGCCUAGAUGAUGAUGUACUUUGUUAUACCUUCAAACAAAAGUGAGGAGUUACUGGGUAACAUCCUAAUUAAAAAAACUGAAAAUUCAGGCACACUUUUUAAAUUUAGAAACUUCAGACACAAACUCAUGCUUGUAUUUUGGUUUUGCAGUACAAGAAGGCAUUGUCUUAUGUAGUAUUUGUAACUAUAAAAACAGACCAUUUAAAAAAAAAAAAAAGGCAGUCUCAGAAUAGGAUGUUUUUGGUCUUUUUUAAUUUUGUCAUUAAAAGAAUACCUGGCAAAUGAAACUCUUGUUUUUUGCUUUAGCACAAUAUUUGACUAAUUUAAUAUUUUAACUCAACUUUGCUUGUUCUGGUAUCCUUUGUCUGUUACCAGAGAGAAUCAAUUGUAUUUUCCUUAGUCAUACUAAUCUUGUAUGUCAUCCUACCAUGUUAGUGAUACGAUGAACAGCAUACAUCCAAAGAGUCAUGCAAUUCUCUUGCAUUUAAAGGCGUAAGUGGUAUAUUGGGGCCUUUUGCAGGUUGCUUGCAAGUUUGAGAAAUUCACCUUGAAUGUAUGUCCGUAUACAGCAUUGAGAUGGUUAAUGUAAAGAAGAACUAUUAAAUUUCAAACUGCUUUAAAAGUAUCUUCGCCAAACUUGCUGUUGGGAGAAAUAGGAUGAACAUUAGCUACUUUUUGUAUAACAUUAAAAUAUAAUUUAUUUACUAUAUAUUGUCUAACUUUCUUGUCAGAAACUGAUCUGUUAAGACAACUCAUUUGAAUUGUUUUUGGUGCAGUGAUUACACAUUUUAGCCUGACGGGAGCAUUCCAGUGCACUUCUGAGGGCUCCCUCACACCCAGGAAAUAACUGGAAUGAUGGACCUUCCUGUUCUGGAAGUUUACAGGCAAGGAGAAACUGUCAUAUUUGUCUUGAUGCAAUACACAUUCUUUAGCCUUGGUUUUUAAGGCUGUAUUCCAAAGCUUGUAUUGGGGGCCCUUGAUAUGAUCAGGGAAGAUGAAGCCUUCUGAAGAAAUGGAUCUUAUACCUUCUUUUAAUAUAAUUAAUGGAUCAGUUCUAAGAAUGCCACUGAACAGUUGUAGGAUUAGUCCUAUUAUGACCCACAGAAGGUUUAACAGAUCUCCUUAUACACUGCAUAUACAGAAACCAGUUGAAGCAAAAUAUUUUAUGGUGUAUGCUUCAUUGUGAUUUCCCAUUAUGGUACAGUUACCACCACCCCUUCACAAAUUUUUCUACAGCAGACCCCUAUUUGUCUUGAUGCCUACAUCAUAUUACAGUUUUAUGAGCAGUGGUGGUAUUUCGAAACUAGUCUUUCAUUAGUAGAACUACCUUGCAAAAAGUGGUCAAACCUUUAUUAUUCUAAUACCAAACUGAAAAAUUUAAGUUACAAAAAUCAGCAUUACUAAAGAUUUUAAUCUUUCUUCAUACGCUAACAUAACAUUCAGAGACUCCUAUUCACAGAAUAUAAUCAUCUUCCCCAUAAUUUAAAACGUGUAGACUAAAGUUGGUAGCUUUAAUUACAGCCAUCAUAUGAGAGGGUGGAAAAAUACAUGAGGCUAAUAUUCUUUACAAAGGGUAGAGUGGCAAAGAAAACUAGAAUUUGACAAUUAAGGCUAUGCUUUUUCUAUACUCUUGUUCUGAAAUGUUUAUAUUACAACUACUAUUUGAAUUUUGGAGCUUUAAAACACCAAAUCAAAAUGUUCCCUUUUAUAUUUGACCAUCCAGUUUUGUCUUUCUUUGUAUAAGCCUGACUUUUGCCUCUCCCUUCUACAUUCCCUCCCUGUGCAAAAAAACCUACCUUUUUAAAAAAACAUCUGAUUUGUCAAAUUUCUCAUGACUGCUGCUCUGCCAGAAGAGCAUGGUUUUAGAAAUUCCAGGAGAGAAUGAAGUCAAAAACUAAACUGUUGGGAGAAAAACAUUAAGAAUCAUCUUUGCGUAUUUUAAGAAUAAUUAAGAGGCCAUAAUUUCCAGUGGGGACUCACCCUACUCUCCACUAGCAUGUACACAAUUUUGAAGGUGUGAAUAGGUAUUAGUACAGGGGUGGGCAGACUUUUUGGCCUUGAGGAUCACAUUAGGUGGUGGAAAUUGUAUGGCAGCCAUGAAUGCUCAUGAAAUUGGGGGUAGGGUGAGGCCAGAAAUGAAGUUCAGGGUGCAGGAAGGGGAUCAGGGCUGGGGCAGAUGUGUGAGGGCUCUGGCAGGGGCUACAGGGUUUAGGAGGGUGCUCUGCUGCACUGGGUGGCUUUAAGAACUUAAUCCGUAUUUUAUUCUUAAAGGUAACUCAAACAUUUAUUAUACCUUAUGACAUUCCCAUGAGAGAGAAUAAAUCAUAACCUUUUCAGAUGGGGAAAAUAGGUUCAGAUGUUGAAUCUGCUCAACUGUCCCGCCAUGCAGUGGCAAAGCCAGGCUUAGAACCUUAUGCAUAAUGUGCUAGAUGACACUUCUCAUGCAGAUACCAUUUAACCAUUAAAAGGGGGAGAAGUCAUGCUUCACAGAAGUGAUUAUACGUCUUUUCCAUUAUGCUAUAUACUCUCCCACAAGUCUUCACUUUUCCUGACCUGAUUUGGUCACCUGUCUGUUGUGAAGGAGUAGUUUUGGUGGCAUUCACUGAGUGACUAUUUGUGCAUUUGACUAACUCUGGUUUGCGAAAUCUUGUACUUUAUUCCACAUCUAUGAGCACCUCCCCCC